GUGCUCACUUUGGCAACAAAUACUAAAAGUGGAAUGAUACACAGAAGAUUAGCAUGGCCCCUGUGCAAGGAUGACACGCAAAUUUGUGAAGCGUUCCAUAAAAAA
ensembl:snRNA U6 U6 spliceosomal RNA